GAUGAACGCUGGCGGCGUGCCUAAUACAUGCAAGUCGAGCGAACAGACGAGGAGCUUGCUCCUCUGACGUUAGCGGCGGACGGGUGAGUAACACGUGGAUAACCUACCUAUAAGACUGGGAUAACUUCGGGAAACCGGAGCUAAUACCGGAUAAUAUAUUGAACCGCAUGGUUCAAUAGUGAAAGACGGUUUUGCUGUCACUUAUAGAUUGAUCCGCGCCGCAUUAGCUAGUUGGUAAGGGAACGGCUUACCAAGGCAACGAUGCGUAGCCGACCUGAGAGGGUGAGCAGCCACACUGGAACUGAGACACGGUCCAGAGUCCUACGGGAGGCAGCAGUAGGGAAUAUUCCGCAAUGGGCGAAAGCCUGACGGAGCAACGCCGCGUGAGUGAUGAAGGUCUUCGGAUCGUAAAACUCUGUUAUGAGGGAAGAACAAAUGUGUAAGUAACUAUGCACGUCUUGACGGUACCUAAUCAGAAAGCCACGGCUAACUACGUG
rnacentral:rRNA from 1 species